rnacentral:rRNA from 1 species
UACGGGGGGGGCAAGCGUUGUUCGGAAUUACUGGGCGUAAAGGGUCUGUAGGUGGCCAACUAAGUCAGACGUGAAAUCCCUCGGCUUAACCGGGGAACUGCGUCUGAUACUGGAUGGCUUGAGUUCGGGAGAGGGAUGCGGAAUUCCAGGUGUAGCGGUGAAAUGCGUAGAUAUCUGGAGGAACACCGGUGGCGAAGGCGGCAUCCUGGACCGACACUGACGCUGAGGAGCGAAAGCCAGGGGAGCAAACGGG